rnacentral:rRNA from 1 species
UACGUAGGGUGCAAGCGUUGUCCGGAAUUAUUGGGCGUAAAGAGCUCGUAGGCGGUUUGUCGCGUCUGCCGUGAAAGUCCGGGGCUCAACUCCGGGACUCUGCGGUGGGUACGGGCAGACUAGAGUGAUGUAGGGGAGACUGGAAUCCUGGUGUAGCGGUGAAAUGCGCAGAUAUCAGGAAGAACACCGAUGGCGAAGGCAGGUCUCUGGGCAUUAACUGACGCUGAGGAGCGAAAGCAUGGGGAGC